rnacentral:lncRNA from 1 species
UCUGAUGUUUAGUUCUGAGUGGAUCAAGGAAUAUUUCAUCUACUACAUUAGAAGACAAUGAAGACUGCUAGCUAUCGGAAUGCUUUCUUGGAUGUGGCUAUCUUUAUUUGAUGCCUUUAUCCUUAUGAUGUAUGGAUAUUGCUCAUUACCUAUUGCUUAUUGCUUGAUCAAAGUCCAAAGGAAAAUGAGUUUCUAUAGGACAUUCUUGUCUGUUGGAUUGCAUCACAUUGGUCAAAUAUUUUCAACUCUUAACUUUUAAAAA